CGGGUGAGUAACACGUGGGCAACCUGCCUUGAAGUGGGGGAUAGCCCUCCGAAAGGAGGAUUAAUACCGCAUAACAUCAGUACAUCGCAUGAUGAAUUGAUUAAAGGAGUAAUCCGCUUCAAGAUGGGCCCGCGGCGCAUUAGCUAGUUGGUGAGGUAACGGCUCACCAAGGCGACGAUGCGUAGCCGACCUGAGAGGGUGAUCGGCCACAUUGGGACUGAGACACGGCCCAGACUCCUACGGGAGGCAGCAGUGGGGAAUAUUGCACAAUGGGGGAAACCCUGAUGCAGCAACGCCGCGUGAGUGAUGAAGGCCUUCGGGUUGUAAAGCUCUGUCUUCAGGGACGAUAAUGACGGUACCUGAGGAGGAAGCCACGGCUAACUACGUGCCAGCAGCCGCGGUAAUACGUAGGUGGCAAGCGUUGUCCGGAUUUACUGGGCGUAAAGGGAGUGUAGGCGGAUACUUAAGUCAGAUGUGAAAUACCCGGGCUCAACUUGGGUGCUGCAUUUG
rnacentral:rRNA from 1 species